rnacentral:rRNA from 1 species
GUGGGGAAUAUUCCGCAAUGGACGAAAGUCUGACGGAGCAACGCCGCGUGAGUGAUGAAGGUUUUCGGACUGUAAAGCUCUGUUGUUUGGGACGAAAGUGCCUGUUGCGAACAGUUACGGGUAUUGACGGUACUAAACGAGGAAGCCACGGCUAACUACGUGCCAGCAGCCGCGGUAAUACGUAGGUGGCAAGCGUUGUCCGGAAUUAUUGGGCGUAAAGAGCAUGUAGGCGGGAAUCUAAGUCUGUUGUUAAAAUGCGGGGCUCAACCCCGUAUUGCGAUGGAAACUGGGUUUCUUGAGUGCAGGAGAGGAAAGGGGAAUUCCCAGUGUAGCGGUGAAAUGCGUAGAUAUUGGGAGGAACACCAGUGGCGAAGGCGCCUUUCUGGACUGUGUCUGACGCUGAGAUGCGAAAGCCAGGGUAGCGAACGGGAUUAGAAACCCUGGUAGUCC